rnacentral:rRNA from 1 species
AUUGAACGCUGGCGGCAGGCCUAACACAUGCAAGUCGAGCGGAUGAAGGGAGCUUGCUCCUGGAUUCAGCGGCGGACGGGUGAGUAAUGCCUAGGAAUCUGCCUGGUAGUGGGGGAUAACGUCCGGAAACGGGCGCUAAUACCGCAUACGUCCUGAGGGAGAAAGUGGGGGAUCUUCGGACCUCACGCUAUCAGAUGAGCCUAGGUCGGAUUAGCUAGUUGGUGGGGUAAAGGCCUACCAAGGCGACGAUCCGUAACUGGUCUGAGAGGAUGAUCAGUCACAAUGGAAAUGGAGACAGGCCCAGAUCCCUAGGGGGGGCAGAGGGGGGAAAUUUUGGCAAAGGGGCGAAAGCCUGAUCCAGCCAGGCCGGGGUUGGGAAGAAGGUUUUCGGUUUUUAAAGCACUUUAAGUUGGGAGGAAGGGAAGUAAGUUAAAACCUGGCUUUUUUGGCGUUACCAACAGAAAAAGCACCGGCUAACUUCGU